CCCCCAACCGUGAGCCCAUCUCCCUUCUCCCCUCUCAACUCUCAUAUCUUCUUCUCACCAACUUGGUUUAGCAAGGGUUUAUGGAUUGAAAAUCGUGUAAAAGGCAAGGAGCAAGUGUUUCCAGGGGCUGAAAACCAUAGCUUGAGCUUGGAUCAUGGUUUUGCUUCCAAGUGAAAGUUCUAUCAUCUACAAGCCUAGAGUAGUGAUUAUCAACAUCAAAGGGUUCAAUAUACCGAUUAUUCCAAGGAUCGUGUCCAGAUUGGAGACUUUAAUUGGUUUUCCAAUAUAGAGUUCGAGUAACUAGAAUCCAAGGGAAUAUUCGAGUUAAGAGUCCAAUGCAACCAAGAUGAUUGUGCAGGGAUGGAUGAAGAAGGUCAGGAAAAUUAGGAUCAUUAUGCCGAUCCUGAUAAAUGUGGAUGAGGCUAUCUAUUGCCUUCUUUUGCGAAAUAGACUACCUUGUUUAGUAUAUCCUUCUUUAUAAGCUGAACUUAACUUCUAUACAUUACUUUAAUAUGUAAUAUUUUUACCUGAGGUUUGUAAUCUAUUAACACUAGUAACAUAGUAUGAGUGUCGUUUGUGGCACAUAUGUUACUGCUUUAGUGCGUAUUUAUUAUGUAAGAACAUCCUGAUCAUAUUUAGUUAUAUUGGGGUAUUUUAGA